rnacentral:rRNA from 1 species
GAUGAACGCUGGCGGCGUGCCUAAUACAUGCAAGUCGAGCGAACAGACGAUGAGCUUGCUCCUCUGACGUUAGCGGCGGACGGGUGAGUCACACGUGGAUAAUCUACCUAUAAGUCUGGGAUAACUUCGGGAAACCGGAGCUAAUACCGGAUAAUCUAUUGAACCGCAUGGUUCAAUGGUGAAAGACGGUUUUGCGGUCACUUAUAGAUGGAUCCGCGCCGCAUGAGCUAGUUGGUAAGGUAACGGCUUACCAAGGCAACGAUGCGUAGCCGACCGGAGAGGGUGGUCGGCCACACUGGAAGUUAGACACGGUCCAGACUCCUACGGGAGGCAGCAGUAGGGAAUCGUCCGCAAUGGGCGAAAGCCUGACGGAGCAACGCCGCGUGAGUGAUGAAGGUCUUCGGAUCGGAAAACUCUGUUAUUAGGGAAGAACAAAUGUGUAAGUAACUAUGCACGUAUUGACGGUACCUAAUCAGAAAGCCACGGCUAACUACGUG